ACCUCAAGUACGGCUGGGAAAAAAGCAGAAUGUGUUACACUGUCUGUCAGAGAAUAUCAUUAUUAAUGAUAAUUAAUAGCUAAUCAUUCUCAUUAAACUUUUUUUUUUUAAACUCGGAUAUGUCCUGAUUAGCCGUCCAACAGAGUGGACCGACAAGCUCAGGGAGAAGUUUCUGGAAGGACUUGAUGCUUUCUUGGAGCUGCUCAAGUGCAUGCAGGUAUGGACCCAGUAGUACGCGACGUGGACCAAGACAUAGAGAUGGAACCAUUGUGGGUGACAGCCUUCACAUUGCAGAUGAAGCUCACACACAUUCUCAGUGAUGCAAGAGUGGUGUGCCAGUGAUGAGUGGGUGCUAAUUGAAGCCUAUAAGAAGUGCCUAACAGUUCUGACUCACUGCCACAGCGGUUUUACUGAUGGAGAACAACCCAUCACUCUUAGUAUGUGUGGACACUCAGUGGACACCAUCCACUACUGUGUCUCACAACAGAAAGUCAGCAUUCACCUACCGGUGUCUAGAUUGCCUGCAGGUAGGAGACCGAAUGUACCAAGUUUAUCAAAAGUGUGUACUAUCAGUGUUUCUUGAAAUUGAGGAUUUUAAACUUAAUUUCUGCUUUUUAUUUAUUUACUUAUUUUAUUUUAUUUUAUUUUAUUUUAUUUUAUUAAGGACUUCAUGCUCUCCUUAGCAAGACAGAAGUGACUUGCAGUUUACAGGUAUGUAUGUUGGUGGUGGUUGGUGUAUGUGAGAAUAUUUGUACCAACAAAUGUGGUGUGUCCUUUUCCACAGUGUGUACUGAGCCCCCCGAUGGUGAUUGAGCACCCACUUUGCUGCCUGGUUCUCUGUGCACAGGUGCAUGCUGGGAUGUGGACGAGAAAUGAAACAUUAUCCAAUCAGGUAUGCUGUAACAAAUGAAAUAUUUUUAAAUGUGUUUGUAUUGUUUAGCACUAUAAAAUGCAAAACUAUAAACAACCCCCCCCCUUUUUUAAAUUAUAUAUAUAUAUAUAUAUAUAUAUAUAUAUAUAAGAUAACGUAUAACAUACGUUAACGUUGAUCUUAGAUUUUUUAUACAGUGUUUUAAUCAUGUUAAUAAACUUCUCCGGAAGCCGUAAUGGUCCAUCACACACCAUAAAUAUUCUCGCGAUAUUAGAUCGAAUGCUUUUUUUUUGGUCCAAGCCCACAAUAAAGAAAUUUUUAUCCAUAAGUUCUCUUGCUGUUCCCAAAUUAUCCCACAUGUAGCUGCCUUUAAUCGCACACAUCUGCUCGAUCUCUAUUAUUUUAUUUAGCGUGUCAUUCAUCUGGUUUACGAUUAUUUUAGUGAUGAUUUUAUAGUCAAAAUUCAUU